UUUAAAUUGAGAGUUUGAUCCUGGCUCAGGACGAACGCUGGCGGCGUGCCUAACACAUGCAAGUCGAGCGAUGAAACCCUUCGGGGUGGAUUAGCGGCGGACGGGUGAGUAACACGUGGGUAACCUGC
rnacentral:rRNA from 1 species